CCUACGGGAGGCAGCAGUGGGGAAUAUUGCUCAAUGGGGGAAACCCUGAUCCAGCGACGCCGCGUGAAGGAAGACGUAUCUCGGUGUGUUAACUUCUAUCUGCAGAGGAGAAAAUGACGGUACGUGACUAAAAAGCCACGUCUAACUACGUGCCAGCAGGCGCGGUAAUACGUAGGCGGCAAGCGUUAUCCGGAUUUACUGGGUGUAAAGGGAGCGUAGACGGAAGAGAAAGUGUGUUGUGAAAGUUUGGGGCUUAACCCGAGGACUGCAUGGGAUACUGUUUGUCUAGAGUGCAGAUGAGGUAAGCGGAAUGCGUAGUGUAGCGGUGAAAUGCGUAGAUAUUAGGAGGAACACCAGUGGCGAAGGCAGCUUACUGAACGGUAACUGACGUUGAGGCUCGAAAGCGUGGGGAGCAAACAGGAUUAGAUACCCUAGUAGUC
rnacentral:rRNA from 1 species